GAUGGCGACCGGCGCACGGGUGAGUAACACGUAUCCAACCUGCCGAUAACUCCGGGAUAGCCUUUCGAAAGAAAGAUUAAUACCGGAUGGCAUACGAAUAUCGCAUGAUAUUUUUAUUAAAGAAUUUCGGUUAUCGAUGGGGAUGCGUUCCAUUAGUUUGUUGGCGGGGUAACGGCCCACCAAGACUACGAUGGAUAGGGGUUCUGAGAGGAAGGUCCCCCACAUUGGAACUGAGACACGGUCCAAACUCCUACGGGAGGCAGCAGUGAGGAAUAUUGGUCAAUGGGCGAGAGCCUGAACCAGCCAAGUAGCGUGAAGGAUGAAGGCUCUAUGGGUCGUAAACUUCUUUUAUAUGGGAAUAAAGUUUUCCACGUGUGGAAUUUUGUAUGUACCAUAUGAAUAAGGAUCGGCUAACUCCGUGCCAGCAGCCGCGGUAAUACGGAGGAUCCGAGCGUUAUCCGGAUUUAUUGGGUUUAAAGGGAGCGUAGGUGGAUUGUUAAGUCAGUUGUGAAAGUUUGCGGCUCAACCGUAAAAUUGCAGUUGAAACUGGCAGUCUUGAGUACAGUAGAGGUGGGCGGAAUUCGUGGUGUAGCGGUGAAAUGCUUAGAUAUCACGAAGAACUCCGAUU
rnacentral:rRNA from 1 species